rnacentral:misc_RNA from 1 species
UUCUGCUUCUUCUUCUUUUCCUCCUCCUCCCAUUUCUUCUAUUGCUUCCCCCCUUUACCCCGUUCUUCUAUUGGUUGUGCUCAGUCCACAACAUUAGCCAUAUUAAUUGUGUGAUUGAUGAUCUUAAUUUGGAUCCUAUAUCAAGGCAUAAAUGGCGGCUUCAUUUCAUUUUCUUAUUUUGGGAAUGCAGGAUCUCAAGAA